rnacentral:rRNA from 1 species
UACGGAGGUGGCAAGCGUUGCUCGGAAUCACUGGGCGUAAAGGGCGCGUAGGCGGGGAGGUAAGUCGGGUGUGAAAUCCCUCGGCCCAACCGAGGAACUGCGCCCGAGACUGCUUCUCUUGAGUCCCGGAGAGGAAGGUGGAAUUCCCGGUGUAGCGGUGAAAUGUGUAGAGAUCGGGAGGAACACCGGUGGCGAAGGCGGCCUUCUGGACGGUGACUGACGCUGAGGUGCGAAAGCGUGGGGAGCAAACAGG